UUAUCUCAAAUUUGUAUGGAGUUGAAAAGUUUGCGUACGUUUGCCGCUAGGGGCGCUGUUCCAACUGCAUACAAAUUUGAGUAA
rfam:Bombyx mori DNA, contig: Bm_scaf67_contig30365, strain: p50T/Dazao, build 2, whole genome shotgun sequence.